rnacentral:rRNA from 1 species
AGUGAACGCUGGCGGUAGGCCUAACACAUGCAAGUCGAACGGCAGCACAGUAAGAGCUUGCUCUUACGGGUGGCGAGUGGCGGACGGGUGAGGAAUACAUCGGAAUCUACUUUUUCGUGGGGGAUAACGUAGGGAAACUUACGCUAAUACCGCAUACGACCUACGGGUGAAAGCAGGGGAUCUUCGGACCUUGCGCGAUUGAAUGAGCCGAUGUCGGAUUAGCUAGUUGGCGGGGUAAAGGCCCACCAAGGCGACGAUCCGUAGCUGGUCUGAGAGGAUGAUCAGCCACACUGGAACUGAGACACGGUCCAGACUCCUACGGGAGGCAGCAGUGGGGAAUAUUGGACAAUGGGCGCAAUCCUGAUCCAGCCAUACCGCGUUGGUGAAGAAGGCCUUCGGGUUGUAAAGCCCUUUUGUUGGGAAAGAAAAGCAGCAGGUUAAUACCCCGCUGUUCUGACGGUACCCAAAGAAUAAGCACCGGCUAACUUCGUG